rnacentral:rRNA from 1 species
UAGGGAAUCUUCCGCAAUGGGCGAAAGCCUGACGGAGCAACGCCGCGUGAGUGAUGAAGGUCUUCGGAUCGUAAAACUCUGUUAUUAGGGAAGAACAAAUGUGUAAGUAACUAUGCACAUCUUGACGGUACCUAAUCAGAAAGCCACGGCUAACUACGUGCCAGCAGCCGCGGUAAUACGUAGGUGGCAAGCGUUAUCCGGAAUUAUUGGGCGUAAAGCGCGCGUAGGCGGUUUUUUAAGUCUGACGUGAAAGCCCACGGCUCAACCGUGGAGGGUCAUUGGAAACUGGAAAACUUGAGUGCAGAAGAGGAAAGUGGAAUUCCAUGUGUAGCGGUGAAAUGCGCAGAGAUAUGGAGGAACACCAGUGGCGAAGGCGACUUUCUGGUCUGUAACUGACGCUGAGGCUCGAAAGCGUGGGUAGCAAACAGG